AAAAGACACGCAAGUUGAUUGGAUGUGGACUGAUUCCCUUAUUCUGUCCAGUGACACGAUCAGUCUCAUCCUCAAUCUCUUUCCGAACUGCAUCAAAAUCCACAAAGCGAUGACCCUUCUUGUGUAGGAACUCGGCGUACUCAUUGCGAUCUUGAAUAAGCUGCAAAAUAAGUGGACGACGUGUUACGAUUCCUGAUCCACGUGGCAAGAAGUCUCUGGAAAGGAAAAAAAUUGUGAUUUUAUUUCGCAAAGUUAUGUUUUUUUUCUUCUUGUGACUCACUUUCCGACAAAAUUCUCCAGCACCGACGACUUUCCAGCGGACUGUCCUCCGACGACGGCGAUCUGUGGAAGUUCGAAGCUGACAGAUGUGCCCAGCUGGGAGAAGGCGUCCUGGACACGAUUGAUCACAGGGAUCAACGCCUGCAUUCCCUGG
rnacentral:sRNA from 1 species